CUCAAACUUUUGUGACUGGUUAUGACUAAGCUCAUGCCAUCUACCUGUUCGAUGUUAUGCUCAUAAGAACUAAAAGAACUAAUUUCUUCAGGUUUGUUUGUGGGAUUUUGAGAGCUACAGAAAUAGUAAAUUGGCAGUACAUGUAAAUACAUCUGGUUCAAGAUUGUUUUGUUGAUUUUGAUUUGGUGACUUUUAUCUUUCUGUAGGUAGUGUCGUGUAGCUCCAGCUGCUGGAUAUGGUUCACCUUGGAGUGGUGCUGAUACACGAGGUUAUUAAGUGAAUUUGAUGCAAAUACGGAGCACAAUAUGAUCCGUAACUAGAAGGUUCUCUAGGAUGUCUUCAGCAAGCUGUCGAUAAGAAAGAUGGAGAUUUUGAUGAUAAAUCAUAUGACAUGUUCUCCAAUCUCCCAACUGCGAAGGAUGUGCAUAUAAUUGAAUACUAGGAUCUUCCCCAAGCAUAUGUGGUUAGGUAGCCUAAAUUUCAGGUUCCCUUCGUCGUGUUUAAACUUGGCUUCAACCUGAGGAGAUUUGCUAUAUCUAUAUCUAUGUCGUUCCAUGGGCGUGCCCGUUGUUCCCUGUUUGUGCUUCACUGCAGAAUUGUUAUCUUACCUUCGUGGUACCAGAUGACUCGGUUGGUGACGUGCAAGUCUGGAUCUAUCCAUGUCUCCUCGCACACUCACCGAGACAUCUUCGAAGUACGUACACAGUUUCAGUGUCCAAACUCAUAUUUUUGGUGUCUCUUUUGCUAAAAUCUUCUUGGUUCUCAGCACUGGUACUACAAAGCAGAAUCCAGUUUAGUGUAAGUUUCUACUAUCCCAUGAAUUCAAGUACUGUGGAUAUCAUGCUGAUGUUACCACAUAGUUCCCAGUUUAGCUCAGGAGGUAACCUGCCAUGGUGUUCUUAUUUUUGUGUGCAGAAAGAAGCACGUUGCAGAUUAGGAAGUCCCAAUCUUUUUUGAGGCCAGGGGUGAUUGCAUAGGAUUUUCUCUGAGAAAACAUACCUUAUUUUGCGCCUCUUGGUUUUCCUAAUUCUGUUUUGUUCUUUCUGACUUAAAACUGAACUAAAGUAAUUGAAUCUGGUCAGAGAUAGAGUAUGAAGGUGAUGGUACAGAAGACAUACCUUAUUUUGCGCCUCUUGGUUUUCCUAAUUCUGUUUUGUUCUUUCUGACUUAAACUGAACUAAAGUAAUUGAAUCGGGUCAGAGAUAGAGUAUGAAGGUGAUGGUACAGAAGUUGCACGAACACAGUAAGUUAAGUCGCAUGCUUUAUUUGGCUUCCUUUUCUUGGUAGCAUGAUCGAGUGUUAGCACAAUAUCCACCAAAAUUUGAUCUUUGAAUUCUCUGAUCUUCUGAUCACACAAACUGCAAUUAGAUUCAGGUAAUGUAGAAAGUGGAGAGAGAUUCUGCAACGAAUUUGUUUUUACCUUAGGUAUGCUAUUUGGGCUGGUCCUUUUGGUGGAUUUUUUUCUGCUAAGUACUAAAUCCUUUUGGAAGACAAACUGCUCCAGUUUUGGAGAGGGUAACUGUCGGCUCGCAUGCUUCUUUGUCUUAGCAGUUAUCAGUACACAAUCACUUAAUAGUCUUUUGUAGUGUUGGUAAACUAAGUGAGUUUCGUAGGAACAUAUGUUGGUGUUGUUGCAGGUUAUGCGUUUUCCUCUGUUAGACGAAGGAAUUGGAUAGCUCUUGCACGUUCUGUGAUCCUUUACUGCGGGUGUUUCAGUCUCCACAAUCUGACAGAUAUGAUUACUCUUACAUAUAUGUUACUGUAUGAUCUUGGAAGACGGAAAUAUUGGAUAAUACUUCUGCCGA